rnacentral:tRNA from 1 species
GGCCCGGUAGCUCAACUGGAUAGAGUCCCUUUCUCGCAAAUCGGUGGUUGGGGGUUCGAAUCCCCCCUGGGCCC